AUAAAGAAGUUAGUGGAAGUUCAGGCAAUAAUUCAGAAUUGAGAAGAUAUCUUGAGGAAGAUAGUGAUGAAUUUGAUAUAUUAAUGUGGUGGAAAGUUAAUGAGCCGAGAUUUCCUAUUCUCGACGGAAAUGGUUCGUGAUGUGUUAGCCAUUCCCAUUUCAAGUAUCGCAUCAGAAUGUGCAUUCAGCAAAGGAGGUCAUGUUCUUGAUCCCUUUAGGAGUUCAUUAACUCCUAAAAUUGUGAAAUCUCUUAUUUGUGUUCAAGAUUGGCUUAGAAGUGAGUCUUUUCCAAUCAAUAUUGAGAAAGAUUUAGAGUAUCUUGAACAACUUGAACUUGAUUUUGCUUGUAGUGGGACUGAAUCUAGUAUAAUUGAUAUAUAGUUGCAGCUUGUAAGUUCAACUAUCAACUAGUGAUGUGUGAUAACGAGUUCAUCAAUGUUUUGUUAUUUUCUUGGUUGCUAUCUGCUAGAACUUUGGAGCUAUUGCAAUCGAGGUUGCAAGUUGCAACGAUGUUUUGUUGUCUUUGUUGCUGGAAGUUGCAAUGAGCCAGAUAAUGAUGACUUUAGUUUUUAACUAACUCUAUUUUAGUGGAUGGACACAAGUUUGUUGACCUUUCUA